rnacentral:lncRNA from 1 species
AAAGGUCCAGUUAUUCAUUUACAAAGACCACAGAGAACUACAUGGGCCUCGCCAGCUCUAGUAUGCUGAUACCUCGAGAGACACAGGAGAACAGAUGGGCCUGGAAUGUUCUGUACCCACCAGCCUCACGGGGCCUCCAGACUGCUUCUCACCCACCUCAUUAUGGAAGCUUAGGCAGGUACUGUACCUUCCUUGGGCUUGGAUUCCUUAGUAUAAUAUUAGUACAUUGGACUAAAUGAUUCUAAGGAUCCUGCUAGUUCUAUCUUGCAUCUAAUUCAGCUCAUUCUGUAAUAAUAAUAUUAACUUAAAAUCGUGCACUAGCUGUGUGCUAGGUGCUAUUCCGUGUGUUUUAUGCACAUUGUUCCUUUUGAUAUUCACAAUGUCCCUCAUUACAUAGACACCAUUUAUUUAUUUAUUAUUAUAUAGACACCCAAUUUAGAGCACAGUGAAGGUAAUUUGUCUAGGGUCACACAGUAUUAAGUACUACCCCCAGGCUGCCUGACUCAGUCCUGGGCGUUUAGCUGCUCGGGGACUGUCUGACUGUAGGGCAAAAUCUAUGGCUCAACUGAGCGUCAGACCUCAAAUGUAUUUCCAAAUGUCCCUCCAAGACUUCCUGUAUCCUUGUCCCACAAGCUCCUAAACCCCAAAUUACCAUAAAUGCAAAUUACCAUAAACACACACUUCUGCUUGUCCCCUGGCAUCUGCCAUUUUCAGUGCCAUUCCCUGUCCUCUAUGGUGCCAAAAAAAAGGCACCCCCUCCUUCCAGGUGACUCGGGCCCAAAUCAGGCUGCAGGACCUGGUCAGUGGAGGAAUCAUCUGCAUCAUUCAGUACAGUGUCCCUGGUCCCACAGUCUUCCAACUUGCUCAGGACAGAUGCUCAGGAACCAUGUGACUCAGGCUCCAGCUCACCUCUGUACCCUCGGAUCCCCUGCCACACACACACUUUCUUUCUCUCUCAUUGAACUAUCAUUAUUCUGCUUUUCUAGGAGAUCAGGGUCAUUCCAUACAAACAAAGUCCAAGAAAUGAUGUCAUCCCUCACUCACUUUGAAAAAGGAGCACAGGCUACUAUGCUUUAGACAAUUUGUGUGUGUGGUGGGGGGAGGCAGAACCAAGAUGACUAAGCCUCUAAAAGCUUGGUUGACCAGUACAGAUGGAGCCUGUGGCAUUCACGGAUUCAGUCACUGGGGCCAGGAGCCCAGCUGCCCAGGAGGCCCAUAGGAAGACCCAGUGAAUGUUUGAAUCACCUGAGGGAGUGCUGGGACAGUGCCAGGAGAUGGUCUCUGGCCCCAGCACUUCUGCUCCCUUACCCCAGCUCAAGUUCAAAGGCUCUGCUGAAUCUGCCCUUCCUAAGGAGUGUGCAGCCACCAGGUGGCAGCGGAGGCCACAGGCACACAACAAGAGCCACUCCAGGCCAGAUGGGGCAGAGGUGAUCAGGAAAGUCUAUCACUAACCCCAGAACCUUCAACCAGGGAGAGAGCAAGCGUAGGUAUAUACAUGCGGGUGUACAGGUGCUUAUGUGUGUGCACCUGUAUGGCAUGGAGGGGUAUGGACAGACAUACAGCCAGACAGACUACUAGAGUUUAGCCUCCUUCCUUUGUGUCACUUCCCCCCUCUUUGGGCUUCCCUUCCCCUGUUCAGCCCUAUCCUGGAUGCUAGUGACUCGGAGGGCUGUGACUCCAUUCCUGCUUUUGAGGGGCUCCCAGACCUGGAGCUAGAGGUGGGCACCAACAAGUAGACAGU